rnacentral:sRNA from 1 species
UUGCACUGGGCAGAUAGGGAUACUCAUCAAAUAAACUGUUGAAAACGGGAUGACUUCACUUGCCAAUGGCGGGCCACUAACCAAGCAUUAUCCACAUGCCGGUGGAUUACAAAGGCGGAGAGCACCCAUAACCUGUGAUAAAGGAGUUUUCAUCACUUCGCCAGUGCAACCUUUU